UGCAGCUUAGAUUGCCCUGCACCAGGUUUGCUUUCAGACCCCUCUCACCCACUGGAGCUAAGCAGGGCUGUGCCCCCUCAGUACCUGAAUGGGAGACCACAUUGGAAAUCUAGGUUGCUGCCG
rnacentral:rRNA from 1 species